UAACGCGUAUCCAACCUUCCGUACACUCAGGGAUAGCCUUUCGAAAGAAAGAUUAAUACCUGAUGGUAUGAUGAGAUUGCAUGAUAGCAUCAUUAAAGAUUUAUCGGUGUACGAUGGGGAUGCGUUCCAUUAGGUAGUAGGCGGGGUAACGGCCCACCUAGCCAACGAUGGAUAGGGGUUCUGAGAGGAAGGUCCCCCACAUUGGAACUGAGACACGGUCCAAACUCCUACGGGAGGCAGCAGUGAGGAAUAUUGGUCAAUGGACGAGAGUCUGAACCAGCCAAGUAGCGUGAAGGAUGAAGGUCCUACGGAUUGUAAACUUCUUUUAUAAGGGAAUAAACCCUCCCACGUGUGGGAGCUUGUAUGUACCUUAUGAAUAAGCAUCGGCUAACUCCGUGCCAGCAGCCGCGGUAAUACGGAGGAUGCGAGCGUUAUCCGGAUUUAUUGGGUUUAAAGGGAGCGCAGACGGGUCGUUAAGUCAGCUGUGAAAGUUUGGGGCUCAACCUUAAAAUUGCAGUUGAUACUGGCGUCCUUGAGUGCGGUUGAGGUGUGCGGAAUUCGUGGUGUAGCGGUGAAAUGCUUAGAUAUCACGAAGAACUCCGAUUGCGAAGGCAGCACACUAAUCCGUAACUGACGUUCAUGCUCGAAAGUGUGGGUAUCAAACAGGAUUAGAUACCCU
rnacentral:rRNA from 1 species